rnacentral:lncRNA from 1 species
UUGAGGUUGGAUAGGAUUUCUAUGAUAUCUAAAGAUCUAUUAGUUGGAUUAAGGUGAAAUUUGGCAUAAUAUUGGAAGACUUAAAGAUUAAGCUAUACACCAAUUUUGGAUUGAGAUUAAUAGUUGAAGAAGGAGAAAUCACUGCUAGAACAUUUGUAUCAACUUUCAAGUUGGUAGCCAAGUAACAUAAGUAUUGUUUUUGGACAUUUUUUUACAAUCUGUAAGUUGAAUUGGAGUGAAUUCUUAUUAAUCACAUAGAAGACUUAUAGUCGUAUUUAUAUGCAAAAUUUUGCUCCAAGUAAAUGGUUAGACUACGAGCUACAAUUUGCUAAAGCUUUCUA